GUAGGUGAACCUGCGGAAGGAUCAUUAAAAAAGGUAAACAUACGCACCUAGCGUAUUACUCCUCUCCUCCCCACCGCAAGGUGGGGAGUGCUUGAGUCCUUUCAACCCAUUGUGAACUUUAUACCUUUGCUUCGGCAGCGCGCCCCCUCUCGGGGGUUGGUAAGGCUGCCGAUAGCCCAUUAUAAACCAUUUUAUUUUAAAUCAUGAAGUCUGAUUACUGUUAAAUUUAAACAAGUUAAAACUUUCAGCA
rnacentral:misc_RNA from 1 species